GGGGGUGUUUUCUCUUUCAACCAAAAAGAUAUUUUGAAUAGUUAAAAGUUUUACUUGCCUUUGCAAGUUUUGGACUCUUUCUGUCGUGAACACAUGGUCACACACACAACACAACACAAAAGAGAAUAAAAAAACAAAAAAACAAAAAACAAAAAACAAAAAAAAAAUCAAAGAGCUGGGAGAGGCAGAACCAAACAAGUAGAGGCGUCUCAAAGAACUCAAGCUGUAACCAAAAAGAAAUCCAAUUGCCUUUGCUCUCUUCUCUGCGCUGGACCAAAGCUCAGCAUGUGUAGGAAUAUGCACAUUGUGUAGAUAUGGCUAAAUGUUGCUGACAAUCUUGCAAUACUAAACUGUUCCUAUUUUAAGAAAAACCAAUCACAAACUGUUCAUCAAUGUUUUACCUCAGCACUCUACUUGUACCCAGUUAAUGAUCAAGCAUAAACACAACAGAGAAGAAGGAAAUUGAUUUUCAUUUUCAUGUCUGACUGUAAAAUCUGUUUGGAUAAUAUUUUGUAAUGAGCUUUUUGUCACGUGACUUGCUUGUCUUCAACUUGAAAUUCUGUGAGGCACAUUGGCUUAUUUGUUGUUGAAAAGUGUUUGGUUUUGUUGUUGUUGUUCGUUUUAUUUUUCAUAAGUUUUAGUUCUGAUUUAUGAUUUCAUCCUCUGUGCUGUGAUCUAGACUGGUCACCAGGGUCACUUAAUGAGGCGCUGCAAAGGAAUCUGCUUCUCCAUGCCUGGGGCAGGCAGCAGGAGAGAGGGCAGGAAAAUAGACUGGGUUGUUCUGGAAAAAUAAAAUCAUGCCGACGAGACAUUGACAUGAUAGACUCGUGACCAAGAAGCCAAACUGGAUAUUGAAAGCUCCUUACUUGUUGAAACAUUGAAACCAAAGCUGACUUAUCUGCACAGGUUGCUUAAUGUUUAAAAAU
rnacentral:lncRNA from 1 species